GAGUUUGAUCCUGGCUCAGGAUGAACGCUGGCGGCGUGCUUAACACAUGCAAGUCGAACGGGGGUGCCAUGAACGAAGCAUCAGUUUACUGAUAUGGAGGGAAUGGGACCCUAGUGGCGGACGGGUGAGUAACGCGUGGGUAACCUGCCCCAUACCGGGGGAUAACACUUAGAAAUAGGUGCUAAUACCGCAUAAGCGCACGGUACUGCAUGGUACAGUGUGAAAAACUCCGGUGGUAUGGGAUGGACCCGCGUCUGAUUAGCUUGUUGGCGGGGUAACGGCCCACCAAGGCGACGAUCAGUAGCCGGCCUGAGAGGGUGGACGGCCACAUUGGGACUGAGACACGGCCCAAACUCCUACGGGAGGCAGCAGUGGGGAAUAUUGGGCAAUGGACGCAAGUCUGACCCAGUAACGCCGCGUGAAGGAAGAAGGCUUUCGGGUUGUAAACUUCUUUUAAGGGGGAAGAGCAGAAGACGGUACCCCUUGAAUAAGCCACGGCUAACUACGUGCCAGCAGCCGCGGUAAUACGUAGGUGGCAAGCGUUGUCCGGAUUUACUGGGUGUAAAGGGCGUGCAGCCGGAGAGACAAGUCAGAUGUGAAAUCCACGGGCUCAACCCGUGAACUGCAUUUGAAACUGUUUCCCUUGAGUGUCGGAGAGGUAAUCGGAAUUCCUUGUGUAGCGGUGAAAUGCGUAGAUAUAANGAAGAACACCAGUGGCGAAGGCGGAUUACUG
rnacentral:rRNA from 1 species